CCUACGGGAGGCAGCAGUGAGGAAUAUUGGUCAAUGGACGGGAGUCUGAACCAGCCAAGUAGCGUGAAGGAUGACUGUCCUAUGGGUUGUAAACUUCUUUUAUAUGGGAAUAAAAUGUUCCACGUGUGGGAUUUUGUAUGUACCAUAUGAAUAAGGAUCGGCUAACUCCGUGCCAGCAGCCGCGGUAAUACGGAGGAUCCGAGCGUUAUCCGGAUUUAUUGGGUUUAAAGGGAGCGUAGGUGGAUUGUUAAGUCAGUUGUGAAAGUUUGCGGCUCAACCGUAAAAUUGCAGUUGAAACUGGCAGUCUUGAGUACAGUAGAGGUAGGCGGAAUUCGUGGUGUAGCGGUGAAAUGCUUAGAUAUCACGAAGAACUCCGAUUGCGAAGGCAGUUCACUGGACUGCCACUGACACUGAGGCUCGAAAGUGUGGGUAUCAAACAGGAUUAGAUACCCUUGUAGUC
rnacentral:rRNA from 1 species